rnacentral:rRNA from 1 species
UACAGAGGUCUCAAGCGUUGUUCGGAUUCAUUGGGCGUAAAGGGUGCGUAGGCGGCGCGGUAAGUCGGGUGUGAAAUCUCACAGCUUAACUGUGAAACUGCAUUGGAUACUAUUCGGCUAGAGAGUUGGAGGGGGGACUGGAAUUCUCGGUGUAGCAGUGAAAUGCGUAGAUAUCAGGAGGAACACCGGUGGCGAAGGCGGGUCUCUGGGCCGAUACUGACGCUGAGGAGCGAAAGCGUGGGGAGCGAACAGG